rnacentral:sRNA from 1 species
UAUCCCCCAAACCAAGGGGGGAUGAGAACCACCGACCGGGGUUCGACAACUGGCGCAGCCAGUUGGACAGACGACGAGCUUGCGAGGAGACUGCCCGAAGGGCGAGCGCAGCGAGUCAAUCCCCCGCUCCCCGCA